UACGGGGGGGCAAGCGUUGUUCGGAAUUACUGGGCGUAAAGGGCUCGUAGGUGGUCAACUAAGUCGGACGUGAAAUCCCUCGGCUUAACCGGGGAACUGCGUCCGAUACUGGAUGACUUGAGUUCGGGAGAGGGAUGCGGAAUUCCAGGUGUAGCGGUGAAAUGCGUAGAUAUCUGGAGGAACACCGGUGGCGAAGGCGGCAUCCUGGACCGACACUGACGCUGAGGAGCGAAAGCCAGGGGAGCAAAACGGGG
rnacentral:rRNA from 1 species